UCGGAGCCGGCUUCCGGGCUUUUUUUCCUAGACACAGGGCAAGCUGGAAGCACUGGAGAAUUCAUUGGCCCAGAUGCAGGCUUUAGCCAAAGUGUGCAGAAGAACCAGCUUACUUUUUCAAGAAAAAGAAAUCUGGAACCUGGUUUAUUUUGCCUUAUGCUUUGGAUAAACCAAUCCAAAUCAGGAGAAUCACAUUCUUCAGACCACCCGUCUAUCUCGCACAGGCAGAGCACGUCAUGGGUCCUGUCUCCCAAAAAGAGAGAGAGAGAGAGCA